UUUUUUGCAACUAGAGGGGGAAGCACAGAGCUAAAAAUAAAACGAAAAGAUCAGUAUCUGUCAGUCUGACAGCUGAUUGGCUGCUCGGAGAUGCAUAUAAUUACCAGCAACUGGCGCUGGGUAGGCAAAGCCGGGAGAAACUGCUGAGACGAGGCCUUUGCCUGGGUGUGGCCUUCCUUUCCGUACCACCUCCUCCGGGAAGCCCUCCUUGAUGUUCCAGCUGGUCUUCUCUUGCAGCUCUGGGUGUCUCCCCUGAAGUCAGGCCCUGAUUAUCUGGAUCUGUGAGCCCUGUGGGGGCAGGAACCACAUGCCUGGCAAGCGCCUGGGCCAGAGACCCUUGAGAAGACAGAUACCAGAUCCCUGAUGCAGGAGGAAGAGGAGAAGCCAGCUUGGGCCACACUGCCCAGGCUUCCGGCAAGCAGUGGCCUUCGAUGGUGGGCGUCUCUGUACCUGCUGGGCACUGACCUUUCCCUGUGCUGGGUGGAGCGGCUGCCGCUGGAUGCUAGGCCCUAGAAAGCCCAGACUGACUACAGGAGACCCUGCUGGUGCUCCUAUCAAUGAUGAGGUGCAAAGGGCAGGUUGGGGAGGCAGGAGAAGGGGUCGCCCAGCUGUUCCUGCCCAUCCUCAACACUGUAAAGCCAUUGUAUCGUUGUUGUUUAGUCACUCAGUCGUGUCCGACUCUUGGCGACCCCAUGGAUUGCAGCGCACCAGGCUUCCCUGUCCUUCAUCUCCCGGAGUUCGCUCAGACUCAUGUCCAUUGAGUUGAUGAUGCCAUCCGACCAUCUCAUUGAGUCCCCAGAGUACCUCGUUGGAGGCAGUGCUGUUGUUAUCCACAUUUUGCAAAUGAGCAAACUGCGGCCACAUGGCUAGUGAGGGCAGAGCCUGGACGUACCCCGUACCUCUUCUCCCGCGGUCAAGCCCAAUGGCCCCCCGCCUCUCUGAGAAGGAUGACAGAGAGGUGCUGGAAACGGAGAUGUUUCUGGAGCAACUGCUCUGAGACCUUCUAGGCAGACACAUUGUCACGGAGAGUCUUGAGAACGCUUUUUUUGUGUGGUGUGCAAAGGAAUUCGCCUUUGGUGUCUCUGAGAGAUCGUCGGGAAGAUUUAAACUGCUUUGCAAUGAUUUGGGGAUGUCAGGCUGAUAUUGCUUUUGAACAUAACAUCGUGACAAGACUGGGCCCCAAGGCAGCCCAGUUUUAUUCAGGUUACGGUAAUAAUAGUCGCCACAGCAGCAACUAAAGCCAUUUUCACGGACUGAGCGCGCACCAUGGGCUCAGUGCCGGGCUCAGCCUUGACUUGGAUGCACACUCUGCCCCCUCACCACCAGCUUGAGAGAGGGUUGACUUUCAUCCUCGGAUUAUUCCCUUGUAGCUGAUACCUAAACUUGUUUGUCUCCACACUCACUGUCUCCCCUGUGAGGCAGUGAGCUUGGUGAAGGCCCCAGUCUGGUCUCUCCCAUUCAUUGCUGAGUCCCCAGUACCCAGCACCAGUUCCUUAAGGAGCAGCUGGACAAUAAAGCUUGGCUGGGCACAUUUCAGAUGAAGAGACUGAGGGUCAGAGAGGUCACACAGCUUGCCAGGAGGGAAUCCUAGGUUUCUGUGGCCUGAGAGCCCAGAGUCUAAUCACCAACUCAAAUGAGCUUGAAAGACUCUCUUAAAAACCCGCUACCUCAAGAAAGCCACAGAGCAUGAGUUCCCCCCCCCUCACCCCCCUGCCCUCUGGUCUCCGCUCUUGUACUAAAACUCAAGAGGCUUCUGA